UACGUAGGGGGCAAGCGUUGUCCGGAUUUAUUGGGCGUAAAGAGCGUGUAGGCGGCUAGAUAGGUCCGUUGUGAAAACUCGAGGCUCAACCUCGAGACGCCGGUGGAAACCAUCUAGCUAGAGUCCGGAAGAGGAGGGUGGAAUUCCUGGUGUAGCGGUGAAAUGCGCAGAUAUCAGGAAGAACACCCGUGGCGAAGGCGGCUCUCUGGUACGUGACUGACGCUGAGACGCGAAAGCGUGGGGAGCGAACAGG
rnacentral:rRNA from 1 species